UGGGGAAUAUUGCACAAUGGGCGCAAGCCUGAUGCAGCCAUGCCGCGUGUGUGAAGAAGGCCUUCGGGUUGUAAAGCACUUUCAGCGGGGAGGAAGGCGAUAAGGUUAAUAACCUCAUCGAUUGACGUUACCCGCAGAAGAAGCACCGGCUAACUCCGUGCCAGCAGCCGCGGUAAUACGGAGGGUGCAAGCGUUAAUCGGAAUUACUGGGCGUAAAGCGCACGCAGGCGGUCUGUCAAGUCGGAUGAGAAAUCCCCGGGCUCAACCUGGGAACUGCAUUCGAAACUGGCAGGCUAGAGUCUUGUAGAGGGGGGUAGAAUUCCAGGUGUAGCGGUGAAAUGCGUAGAGAUCUGGAGGAAUACCGGUGGCGAAGGCGGCCCCCUGGACAAAGACUGACGCUCAGGUGCGAAAGCGUGGGGAGCAAACAGG
rnacentral:rRNA from 1 species